CAGUAGCCACGGUAAUACGUAGGGUGCGAGCGUUAAUCGGAAUUACUGGGCGUAAAGCGUGCGCAGGCGGUUAUGUAAGACAGUUGUGAAAUCCCCGGGCUCAACCUGGGAACUGCAUCUGUGACUGCGUAGCUAGAGUACGGUAGAGGGGGAUGGAAUUCCGCGUGUAGCAGUGAAAUGCGUAGAUAUGCGGAGGAACACCGAUGGCGAAGGCAAUCCCCUGGACCUGUACUGACGCUCAUGCACGAAAGCGUGGGGAGCAAACAGGAUUAGAUACCCCCGUAGUCCCUGUCUCUUAUAC
rnacentral:rRNA from 1 species